UUUUAUUAUUUUAUUGUCCAAUUUGUUUGCAGGAUGAAAUUGCUUCAGAAGAAGACCUUGGCGAGAUGGAAAAAGCAGCAAGUGUUUCUAAAACCAGAAAAUCAGGCAAAAGAACAGCCAAAUCCAAAGCCGUGUUGGAGCCUCCUCCCAUAGCAGAGGUGGAACUGCUCUCUCCUCUGCCCAGCCCCGCUGAUCCCCUCCCCCGAGCACAGAAGAGGACGAAGAAGGGAGAGACCCCAGCCCCCGGCAGGAACCUUCGACGCAAACGAAUAAUGGAAACCGUUUUCUCAAAACCUGUAACACGGAGGAAGAAACUUUAAGGAGGUCGGUGGUGGUUUUAACCGGGGAACCUCAGACAGCCGCGAGAAGACCUGAACCAACUCCGUCAAGAGCUGUCAAAUACAAGUGUAUGCCUAAACUCAUUAUGGUUCUAUUUCCUCGAAUGCCUCAGAGUGCUGUGGUUGUCUUUGUAUAUUUACUUCCCUGUAGGACAAGUGAAUAAAAAAAAAAGAAGCAAUUUAGGCAUGAAAAUAUAUUUUUGGGAGAAAACACACUGGACAGCAGUGUGAGAGAGGCAUAUAUUUUUGGAGUUUACAUAUCCCGUUCAUCCCGGACUGGAUUUCACUUGAUAUUGCAUCUGUGGGACAUUUUAAGACGCUCCUCGUAAUCCGCCUAAAUCUCUGGACACAAAAAGACACAAAGGAAAUAAAUCAAGGUGGGCUUUUAGAAGCGCCCAGUAAUAAAACCGGAGGGACUGAAGUGAGCCUUGCUCUAAGAAAUUGGUUUUAUUCACUCUUUUAACUUUUUUGUUUAUUUUUUUGUUUUUGUUCUCAUCGUUUACUUUUUAGAUCUUGAGGCCUGCUACCUUUUUCUAUUUAAGAAGAAAAGCAACCAACCCAGUGGAGACAAAUGAUUUUUACUGAUAAAUGUGUAUAUAGUCUUUUGCUAUGUUCCAAAUAAAGUUCAUAAAUAAAUCGUAAAAAAUGUCUUUCAUUUUGAGGUUUUAAGUGUCAUGAAUGCGUUUGAUCAUCUAAUCAGCCUGCCUAUGCCAUAGUCUUAAAAUGUGUGUCAAUUUGAGGGAUUACCUGUGAAAGACUUGUGAACUAAUGCCAUCAGAUUGGAGUGUUUCUGUGUGUAAUAGGGAUGAUGUAAAGUGUGAAAUCAACAAAAAGACUUACACAGCUGUUUAGAGUUUUAAAAAUGUAAAAUAGAUGUUUUGCGACAUGUUCUUAGACUUGUUAAACUAAAUUUAUGGCAACCAACAUCUGAGAAAUAGGCUAUUUUCUGAUGAAUGUAUGUAGAAUGUCUUAUUUUUGAUGACUGCUCUUUGAUAAAUAUGGCUACGCUUGAA